rnacentral:rRNA from 1 species
GACGAACGCUGGCGGCGUGCCUAAUACAUGCAAGUAGAACGCUUAAGAGAGGAGCUUGCUCUUCUUGGCUGAGUUGCGAACGGGUGAGUAACGCGUAGGUCACCUUCCUUUUAGCGGGGGAUAACUAUUGGAAACGAUAUCUAAUACCGCAUAACAAUGGCUGACACAUGUCAUUUAUUUGAAAGGGGCAAUUGUUCCACUACAAGAUGGACCUGCGUUGUAUUAGCUAGUAGGUGAGGUAAUGGCUCACCUAGGCGACGGUACCGAGCCGACCUGAGAGGGUGAUAGGCCACACUGGGACUGAGACACGGCCCAGACUCCUACGGGAGGCAGCAGGAGGGAAUCGUCGGCAAUGGGGGCAACCCUGAACGAGCAACGCCGCGUGAGUGAAGAAGGUUUUCGGAUCGUAAAGCUCGGUUGUAAGUCAAGAACGGGUGUGAGAGUGGAAAGUUCACACUGUGACGGUAGCUUACCAGAAAGGGACGGCUAACUACGUG